rnacentral:lncRNA from 1 species
CCAGAAGCUAGAUGAAUGCAGGCUCUCAGGAGAGGAAUCUAGGCUGGGGAGUAUAGAUUUACCAGGCGUUUGUUUAAAGGGAGUAGAGGACAAUAUAAGAUAGCCAGUGCGUGCAGGUGUGGGUGAGGAGAGACAGACCCGGGAGACUCGAGUCAAGGAGGGAGGGCUUAGGAGGGGUGAGAAGGGUGACAGAAAGAAAGCAGAGCAUGAGUCCAAGGAGCCAAGGGAAGACAGCAUCACAGAAGAGCAAGUAACCACAGUGCAGAAAAACCAGUUACGUAAAGUUCUGAGCAAUGCCCAGCGCCUCUAUAAACAAGCAGGUCCUUGGUGACCGCGACCGGAGACCUGUGUGGGGUGCCAGGUUGCAGGAAAUCGAAGAAUGAGUGGAGAACGAGGAAAAAGACAGCUGGAAACUCAGAGUCAUCCCUGAAGAUGGCCACAAGUCACCUCCUUUCUGAUGCCCUUUCCUCUCCACUUCCAGGGAAGAAGCAAGACAUGAAAGGAAGCUACUCCAGGCCUUCGUGGUCCAGGUACAUGACUGCAGGAGGUUGGAUACAUGGAGCUGAUGCUUCCAAACCUUUAAGCUCUGUCUGGUAGAAGUCAGAUAUGGACCUCAUGGGGCUAAAAGCAGAGCUGUAUUUGUUCCCUGAAGCUCCUAGGGGAAGACUCUGGGUGCUCAUCUGCUUCUACAGGACGCCUGUAUCCUUGGCUUGAGGUUCCCGGCUUCCCUCUUGAAAGCCAGCAAUGGUUUUUUGAGACAGAGUCUGGCUAUGUAUCUAGUUCAGGCUGGCUGGCCUUGAACUCACAGCGAUCCUCCUACCUCAGCCUCCCAUGUGCUGCGAUCACAGCCAUGUGCCAGCACAUUCAACAGCCUAAUAUUUAAUUUUCUCAUGGGUAAUAUGGAAAGAAAAAUACCAACCUUUCAGACUUAUUGUGAGGAUAAGAUAAUAUGUAUAGGGUCUAGAAAAGGGACAUUUUCAAAUUCCCCUCCCCAUUUCCCAUUUUCCUUCUCCCGUAAGGGAAGAGUGGCUUUGACCAGGCCAUUUUCCCCAGUGUUCAGGGCCAUGUGGGCUGUGCGUGAACCAUGUACCUGGUGUAGCUCCUCUGGGGCCUUCUGUCCAUCUCCAGCUACCAGUGCC